rnacentral:rRNA from 1 species
CCUACGGGUGGCAGCAGUCGAGAAUCAUUCACAAUGGGGGAAACCCUGAUGGUGCGACGCCGCGUGGGGGAAUGAAGGUCUUCGGAUUGUAAACCCCUGUCAUGUGGGAGCAAAUUAAAAAGAUAGUACCACAAGAGGAAGAGACGGCUAACUCUGUGCCAGCAGCCGCGGUAAUACAGAGGUCUCAAGCGUUGUGCGGAAUCACUGGGCGUAAAGCGUGCGUAGGCUGUUUCGUAAGUCGUGUGUGAAAGGCGCGGGCUCAACCCGCGGACGGCACAUGAUACUGCGAGACUAGAGUAAGGGAGGGGGAACCGGAAUUCUCGGUGUAGCAGUGAAAUGCGUAGAUAUCGAGAGGAACACUCGUGGCGAAGGCGGGUUCCUGGACAUUAACUGACGCUGAGGCACGAAGGCCAGGGGAGCGAAAGGGAUUAGAUACCCGAGUAGUC